UGCUUAGGAAUCUGCCUAUUAGUGGGGGACAACAUUUCGAAAGGAAUGCUAAUACCGCAUACGUCCUACGGGAGAAAGCAGGGGAUCUUCGGACCUUGCGCUAAUAGAUGAGCCUAAGUCGGAUUAGCUAGUUGGUGGGGUAAAGGCCUACCAAGGCGACGAUCUGUAGCGGGUCUGAGAGGAUGAUCCGCCACACUGGGACUGAGACACGGCCCAGACUCCUACGGGAGGCAGCAGUGGGGAAUAUUGGACAAUGGGCGCAAGCCUGAUCCAGCCAUGCCGCGUGUGUGAAGAAGGCCUUAUGGUUGUAAAGCACUUUAAGCGAGGAGGAGGCUACUUUAGAUAAUACCUAGAGAUAGUGGACGUUACUCGCAGAAUAAGCACCGGCUAACUCUGUGCCAGCAGCCGCGGUAAUACAGAGGGUGCAAGCGUUAAUCGGAUUUACUGGGCGUAAAGCGCGCGUAGGCGGCUAAUUAAGUCAAAUGUGAAAUCCCCGAGCUUAACUUGGGAAUUGCAUUCGAUACUGGUUAGCUAGAGUGUGGGAGAGGAUGGUAGAAUUCCAGGUGUAGCGGUGAAAUGCGUAGAGAUCUGGAGGAAUACCGAUGGCGAAGGCAGCCAUCUGGCCUAACACUGACGCUGAGGUGCGAAAGCAUGGGGAGCAAACAGGAUUAGAUACCCUGGUAGUCCAUGCCGUAAACGAUGUCUACUAGCCGUUGGGGCCUUUGAGGCUUUAGUGGCGCAGCUAACGCGAUAAGUAGACCGCCU
rnacentral:rRNA from 1 species